rnacentral:misc_RNA from 1 species
GGAAAACCCGUAGGCGGUGCCCUGCCAUUGCCUAAAACAUCCACCGAUUAAGAAAGAUCAACAAUCCUGAAUGGCAGCCUCAGAAACCAUGGACGAUAGCUUCAGAGCCCGAGUGGAGAAGAUUUUCGGAUCGUUGACUUCAUCUUCCUUGCAGCAACCCUCGUCUCUUCAAUCUACUCUUUGGUCUCUCACUGACUAUGAGGUCGAGAGAAGAGAAUGGAGGAGAGAAGACGCCGUAACACAUGACAGGGAUGAAAUACCGUGCUCUUCUGCUUUUGAUGAGUUGAAAAGAGAUCGGUGGAGGGCUUUUCGUAGAGAGCUCCAAUGUGAUCUCAAUGAUGAUGAUGAUGAUGAUCAUGAUGAGUCUAAUACGUUGAGUAGCAGAGGAGUGGGCGCGUAUGGUGUGGAUGAAUGGGAUAUCAGAUCCUCCAUUGGCUUGGACCGUACUCUCGAUAAUGAGGAAGAGGAAGAUGAAUAUGAUAAAGUGGCUUCAGGAAGAGAAAAUGCUGGGGAGCGUCUUUAUAUGAAGAAUGUUGGUAAUCAAGAGUCUUAUUUGAACAUUCAUAAUGUACUUCCCAAGUCAUUACAUGGCACAAAAGACCCACGUGCUAAUCACAUGGCAGCAAAAAUUAGGCUGAGAGAAGAUGAAGCUGAAGCUCAAAAAUUGAAUUCUCACCAUGUUUGUGAUGCAGAAGUUAGAGAGCUCCAUCGGAAACCAUCUAAUGAAAGUGGCAGUCAAUUGAGAUCUAUAUUAAAAAGGAAAGACAACAAAUCAGAUUCCAAGUGGCAUAAACGUGUCAGGUUUGACCCUGGCUGUAAAACUGUAUGCAAGAAAGAAGCAUCCCAAAAAAUUCAAGCCAUUUCUGUGGGCAGUUCUUCACUGAACUGUAUGAUUUCAGAUGAUGAACGCAUGUCAAGCCAGAACAGAUAUGGCAUUCCAGAUUAUUUACAGAAUCCAUUUAAAUAUACCAAUUACAGUUUUAAUUCAUCUAGUGAAGUUGAAGAGAAAUCCAGUACCCAGGCUUGCAUGGAUUUUGUUAAGUUGGUCAAAGAUCUAAAAUCCACAGGAUCAGGAUCAGAGUUGAAGGAUGCCUCAGCUGACCUUCCAAUUCCGAAGUCGGUGACUUUUGUUCCCAAGAAAAAGGCAGGUGAACUUAAAGCAGGUAAUUACAGCUGCAAGGUUAAGCAAGAUGAGGAAGAGGAUGGUAAUCAAUCCUUGCGGAAUACAAUCUUACCUGUUGGCAUUGCAGCUGGGGAAUCACAAGAGUCUGAAGCUGGUGUAGUGGAGGAAGAUGAAAGAGAAAGAAAUGACAUAAUCAAAAGUGAUGGUUCCCAAAAGGCUAGUCGCAAGUAUCGAACAAGGUCAGGCACAGAUGAAUCUGAUCCUUGACUCCCUGUGAAGUUCCUGUGAUUCAAAUCAUUAGACUUCUCUACUAAAAUCUCAUAAUAUUUUGUAAUUGCUGUGAUUGAAGCCUUCAGUAGUUUUUUUCUCUUUUUGCCCUUAGAACAUGGUUGUGUGCAAAAUAGAAGCAUGCCUUCUCAUUUGGUUUAAUGCAUUUUAUGAAUGAUGAUGAAAUUCAGGUUUGAUAAUGCAGAAUCUGUUGGGUGUAGUUCAUUACCAAAAUGCAGGUUGUAGUUUGC